rnacentral:rRNA from 1 species
UACGAAGGGGGCUAGCGUUGCUCGGAAUCACUGGGCGUAAAGCGCACGUAGGCGGAUUGUUAAGUCAGGGGUGAAAUCCUGGAGCUCAACUCCAGAACUGCCUUUGAUACUGGCGAUCUCGAGUCCGGGGAGAGGUGAGUGGGAACUGCGAGUGUAGAGGUGAAAUUCGUAGAUAUUCGCAAGAACACCAGUGGCGAAGGCGGCUCACUGGCCCGGUACUGACGCUGAGGUGCGGAAAGCGUGGGGAGCAAAC